rnacentral:rRNA from 1 species
UAAGGAAUCUUCCACAAUGGACGAAAGUCUGAUGGAGCAACACCGCGUGCAGGAUGACGGUCUUCGGAUUGUAAACUGCUUUUAUAUGGGAAGAUUAUGACGGUACCAUAUGAAUAAGCACCGGCUAACUACGUGCCAGCAGCCGCGGUAAUACGUAGGGUGCAAGCGUUAUCCGGAAUCACUGGGCGUAAAGCGUGUGUAGGCGGAUCUUUAAGUGUGAUGUUAAAUCGUGUGGCUCAACCAUAUCGAUGCAUCGCAUACUGGGGGUCUGGAGGACGGCAGAGGCAAGUGGAAUUAGCAGUGUAGCAGUGAAAUGCGUAGAUAUUGCUAGGAACACCAAUGGCGAAGGCAGCUUGCUGGGCCGUUUCUGACGCUGAGACACGAAAGCGUGGGGAGCGAA